UUUCAAAAAUGUUAAUCAAUGAAAUGUCUAACAAUGAUUGGUGAUAAUUAUAAUAUCAAAAAUAUUAACUAAUGAGAUGGCUAUACGCGAUUGGUUGUUUAAAAUCUAAUGUGGACGGCAUAAGAGACAAAUAGCCUCAACUUUUAUAUAGUAUAGAUUUAGAUAUAUGUGGAAGAUUAAGAGAGUAUAUAUAUUUCUUUUUAAUAAUAGUUUUUGUGGUUAGUAACGUUGAAUUAAUGUAAUGAUUUAGUAUCUAAAUAUUUGAUAAAUGUGGUAAACUUUUAAAAAUGUUGUUCAUUUAUUGAAACAAAAUGUGUGUAAAAUAAUUCAGAAUGUUCCUCACAUAAAUUUAAUGGAUUUAAUACAAUACAUUCUAUUUGUUAUAAUUUUUAGAACACAUUUUUCAAUAACUGAUUU
rnacentral:sRNA from 1 species